rnacentral:tRNA from 1 species
GGCCCCUUAGCUCAGUGGAUAGAGCAUCUGCCUUCUAAGCAGAGGGUCGCACGUUCAAGUCGUGCAGGGGUCACCA